CCUACGGGUGGCUGCAGUGGGGAAUAUUGGGCAAUGGGCGCAAGCCUGACCCAGCAAUUCCGCGUGAAGGAAGAAGGCUUUCGGGUUGUAAACUUCUUUGACAGGGGAAGAGCAGACGACGGUACAUUGAAAACAAGCCACGGCUAACUACGUGCCAGCAGCCGCGGUAAUACGUAGGUGGCAAGCGUUGUCCGGAAUUACUGGGUGUAAAGGGCGUGUAGCCGGGAAGGCAAGUCAGAUGUGAAAUCCGCUGGCUCAACCUCCGAAUUGCAUUUGAAACUGUUUUUCUUGAGUACUGGAGAGGCAGACGGAAUUCCUUGUGUAGCAGUGAAAUGCGUAGAUAUAAGGAAGAACACCAGUGGCGAAGGCAGUCUGCUGGACAGCAACUAACGGUGAGGCGCGAAAGCGUGGGGAGCAAACAGGAUUAGAUACCCUAGUAGUC
rnacentral:rRNA from 1 species